rnacentral:rRNA from 1 species
ACGACCGCAAGGUUGAAACUCAAAAGAAUUGACGGGGGCCCGCACAAGCGGUGGAGCAUGUGGUUUAAUUCGAAGCUACGCGAAGAACCUUACCAGGUCUUGACAUCUUCUGACAGUCUAAGAGAUUAGAGGUUCCCUUCGGGGACAGAAUGACAGGUGGUGCAUGGUUGUCGUCAGCUCGUGUCGUGAGAUGUUGGGUUAAGUCCCGCAACGAGCGCAACCCUUAUUACUAGUUGCCAGCAUUAAGUUGGGCACUCUAGUGAGACUGCCGGUGACAAACCGGAGGAAGGUGGGGACGACGUCAAAUCAUCAUGCCCCUUAUGACCUGGGCUACACACGUGCUACAAUGGAUGGUACAACGAGUCGCGAGACCGCGAGGUUAAGCUAAUCUCUUAAAACCAUUCUCAGUUCGGACUGUAGGCUGCAACUCGCCUACACGAAGUCGGAAUCGCUAGUAAUCGCGGAUCAGCAUGCCGCGGUGAAUACGUUCCCGGGCCUUGUACACACCGCCCGUCACACCAUGAGAGUUUGUAACACCCAAAGCCGGUGGG